rnacentral:rRNA from 1 species
UGAUUAUUCAAAAUAAGAAUAGGGAAUAGAGUGGUUGAAAGAACAGAAAGUUUUAGUAGGGAGUAGCGAACAAACAUGAGGGAUAAACCGAGAGGGUUAAAUGAGAGAAAGAUAAAUCAUAGAAAAGAAGUUAUUUAAUGUACCUUUUGUAUCAGGGUUUAUCAAGUAAAUAAUAAAUAAGAUUUUCUCGAUUUGAAAGGAGCUAUUUUCUUAACUCAGUUAAAGUAUCAAAUUUAUAUGAAAUAAGGAAAUAGGGAUGAAAUGUCAGCCGACUUUUAAGGUAUCUAGUUUCUCAAGAAGUGAAUUUAAUUCAGGCAAUAGAGGGUUACUACUUAGGGUAUAUCUAUUGCUACAAUUUUAGGGGAUAAGCUCUGAAGUUAAUCAUAAGACUGGUCACUAUUAACAAAUAGGCUUAGAAGUAGCCAAUAGGAGGGUGUUAUAACUUAUUUAUAGGGAUGGAUAUUUUAUAUUCUUUGAAGAACCAUUGAGACAUCCUUAUUAAUGGUGGAUAAGGAAAGGUAAUGAUAAAAUAAGUAUACUGGGAAGAUCUCGUCAAGGAAUUCGGCAAAUUUGUGCUCGCCUGUUUAUCAAAAACAUCGCCUUCAGAUAGAGUUGAAGGUAUGACCUGCCCACUGAAGUAUUUAAGGGCCGCGGUAUUUUGACCGUGCAAAGGUAGCAUAAUCAUUAGUCUUAUAAUUGAAGACUAGAAUGAAGGGUGGAACGAGGUACAAGCUGUCUUCACGGGAAGAUAGAAUUUCACUUUUUAGUGAAAAGGCUAAAAUAAGAUUAGAGGACGAGAAGACCCUAUAGAACUUUAUAAAUACUGAGUUUGUACUUUAGGGUAGGAGUGGUACAUGAUUUGGGGUUUAUUUCGUUGGGGUGAUGGGGUAAUAUGAGAACUUACUUUGAUUAAACAUUUUACAUGAAUAAGAGAACCAUAAAUAAUGAUUAAAAGAUUAAGUUACCUUAGGGAUAACAGCAUAAUCCUUUUAGAGAGUUCAAAUCGAUAGAAGGGAUUGUGACCUCGAUGUUGGAUUAAGAUUUAUUUUAGGUGUAGCAGCUUAAACUGAAGGUCUGUUCGACCUUUAAAAUCUUACAUGAUCUGAGUUCAGACCGGCGUGAGCCAGGUCGGUUUCUAUCCUUAAUUUAAGUGGGUGUUUUAGUACGAAAGGACCAAACACCAGGGAUGAAGCCCUGAAGAAGAAUACUAUU